rnacentral:tRNA from 1 species
AAUCUUAUAUUCAAAAAAUGAUUUUAGACUGCAAUUCUAAAGGUGUAAAUAUUACUAAGGUUU